UGGGAUCCCUCAGUAAUGGCGAAUGAAGAGGGAGUAGCUCAACGUGGAAAUUGGGGCCCCCGGCCUUGAAUUGUAGUCUGGAGAUGCACUGCCAACGGAGGCGCAGAUGUAAACCUCUUGGAAGAGAGCAUCAGCGAGGGUGAGAGUCCUAUUUGUCAUCUGCAGUCCCCCAUGCACGGCGUGCCUUCGAAGAGUCACGUUCCUCGGAACUGGAGCGCAAAGUGGGUGGUAACUUUCAUCUCAAGCUAAAUAUGGGUUCGAGACCGAUAGCAAACAAGUACCAUGAGGGAAAGGUGAAAAGGACUUUGAAAAGAGAGUUACAAGUGCCUGAAAUUGCUGAAAGCAAAGCGAAGGGAACUAGUGCUGCUUGGCAAAAUCUUCCGCGCGCUAUCGCGAUGGCUUGCUGGUUCAACGCAAGUGUGGAAGCGAGUUCUGACUGGGACGCGCGCGGCGUUUCUUGCCCUGCGCGUCAACGCCAGCUCACAAACGAGGAGCGCUCCAGGUGCAGGGCAAUCUGCCCCCGGGCAGACGAACGCGCCUGGUAAAACUCAUUUGUGCACUGACUCGUGGCUGUCUGGUUGCAGCGCUCUGUGUCAGCUCAGAGUAGCUCCGGCAACUGAGGCGCAUCCCUGACGCAAACGAGGACCAAGUGGUUCUAUUCGACCCGUCUUGAAACACGGACCAAGGAGUCUAACAUAUCU
rnacentral:rRNA from 1 species